rnacentral:rRNA from 1 species
GACAUGUACGGAAGUCGCUAGAGAUAGUUCGUGCUCGAAAGAGAGCCGUAACACAGGUGCUGCAUGGCUGUCGUCAGCUCGUGUCGUGAGAUGUUGGGUUAAGUCCCGCAACGAGCGCAACCCUUGUCAUUAGUUGCUACAUUCAGUUGGGCAACUCUAAUGAGACUGCCGGUGACAAACCGGAGGAAGUGGGGAUGACGUCAAGUCCUCAUGGCCCUUAUAGGUGGGGCUACACACGUCAUACAAUGGCUGGUACAAAGGGUUGCCAACCCGCGAGGGGGAGCUAAUCCCAUAAAACCAGUCGUAGUCCGGAUCGCAGUCUGCAACUCGACUGCGUGAAGUCGGAAUCGCUAGUAAUCGUGGAUCAGAAUGUCACGGUGAAUACGUUCCCGGGUCUU